rnacentral:rRNA from 1 species
GCGCACCAGUCGCGAAAACUUUACAAUGUGCGAAAGCACGAUAAGGGAACUCUGAGUGCCUCCUACGGAGGCUGUUCAGGUGCCUAAAAACACACCUGAAGGAAGGGCUGGGUAAGACCGGUGCCAGCCGCCGCGGUAACACCGGCAGCCCAAGUGGUAGCCACUUUUUAUUGGGUCUAAAAGCGUCCGUAGCCGGCCAGGUAAGUUCCGUGGGAAAUUUGGCCGCUUAACGGUCAAAACUACCAGGGAAUACUGCCUGGCUUGGGACUGGGGAGAGGGCAGAGGUACUCCAGGGGUAGGGUGAAAAUCCAAUUAAUCCCUGGGGGACCACCGGUAGCGAAAGGCGUCUGUCCAGACCAGGUCCGACGGUGAGGGACGAAAGGCUAGGGGCGCGAAACCGGAUUAGAUACCCCGUAGU